GAUGAACGCUGGCGGUAUGCUUAACACAUGCCAGUCGAACGGACUCUUCGGAGUUAGUGGCGGACGGGUGAGUAACGCGUGAGAAUCUGGCUCUGGGUUCGGGACAACCACUGGAAACGGUGGCUAAUACCGGAUGUGCCGAGAGGUAAAAGAGAAAUUGCCUGAAGAUGAGCUCGCGUCUGAUUAGCUAGUUGGCGAGGUAAAGGCUCACCAAGGCAGCGAUCAGUAGCUGGUCUGAGAGGAUGACCAGCCACACUGGGACUGAGACACGGCCCAGACUCCUACGGGAGGCAGCAGUGGGGAAUUUUCCGCAAUGGGCGAAAGCCUGACGGAGCAAUACCGCGUGAGGGAAGAAGGCUCUUGGGUUGUAAACCUCUUUUCUUAGGGAAGAACAAAAUGACGGUACCUAAGGAAUCAGCAUCGGCUAACUCCGUG
rnacentral:rRNA from 1 species